UUUUAUUCACAUUUUGUUACCAAAUUUUAUAAUUUAAUCAGUUUUGUUUAUUUAAUAAUCUAUUUAUAUUAUUGUAGUAGUGAAAUUAAUUAGUGUUUUGAGUUUUUUUGUGUUUUUUUCUUGUCAUUUGUGUAUUUGAUUGUGAGGUUAUCGAUACUGCGUAGUAGCUUUAUUGAAUCUAGAUUGUCGGAAUAACAUCGAAAGAAAAAUGAUUUAUAGCAUGCAUAUGCCACGACGAUUCGUAGCUGAUGACGUAGCUUCUCUUCAAGAUUGCGCCACCAUGAUAAACUGCGCCACCUAGAACGACCAGGAACAUAGGGAGACGUUUAUCCCGCUAAUCAGAUCGCGAAGGACAAAGCCCGUGAUACAUUGCGCCGCAGAUUGCCGUGGAAUAUUAUUAAAUGGGCCGCGUUCCCGAACACGAAGGUCUUCCCUCGAGCUCUUUAGCCGUAGGAUUAAGUAAAAUGGUGGACGGUUCCUAUUCCGGUGCGCAACAGGUGAGGCGGGCCCUUGGAAGUGGGAAAAACUACUAACCGCUCCUCUCGAUGCGAAUAACGGCCACGUUAUUCCCGCCCUUUAAUAUUGCAUUAACUAUAUCCACCACCUACUACGGGGCUACGAGUGCAUAAAUAAACCAGCGUCAUGGCAACCGGAGAAGUAGUUUCGAGAAGCGAAAAAUAAGAAUUUAUAGUCAAGGAUAAUAAUGUAAAAUAAAUGUAUGUAUAUUUAUAGAUAAAUAAA